GGCUCGGUUGCGCAACGGUAGCGCAUCUGACUCCAGAUUUGAAGGCUGCGUGUUCGAAUCACGUCCGGGUCA
rnacentral:tRNA from 13 species